rnacentral:misc_RNA from 1 species
AAGUAAUCAAUUAUCUCUUCUUUUCAACUACUAUAUAUCUUGAGCAUAGAAAUCAAUGAUCUCCUUGAGAUUUAGUUGAAACAAAGAGGAGCAAUCAUUUUGCAUCAACCACAACAUGUGUUCAAAUAAUAUAGCAUCAACAUCCACAUAAAUCACUUUUUUUCCUCUAUUUUCUUUUACUUUGCCUCCAUCUUCUUUUCUCACCAUUUCAAUCAAACUUCUAAAUGGACUUUCUUCUAACACAAAUGACUCCACCAAGAAUUCCCUUUUUUCCUUUCCCACCAGCACAGUUACCGGAUAACUUGAAUCGUCAUAAUCUUCUUCCACUAGUGGCCUAUACCCUAGUAAUCGGCCCGAACAUCGCCUUGUCAAGAUUGCUACGGGCAAAACUAUGCAAUCCAUGAACUGUAGCACACGAAAAAUAAUACGUCGCUAGAAAAAUGGCCACUUAUAUAUUUAUUUUUUAUGAGAUGUUUUUUUUUACCCUUUUUGGAGGGUAUUUUGGGAAUGAAAUGAAAGAAAGGGAAGAAGAGUUCUUGAUGA